AGCACUUUCUACUACACAUGAGCAGUGCUGGCAUGAAAUUCUACCUAUAUAUACACAAGGUCGGUGGGACAUCCAUGAGAUGGAAAAGAAUGAAGGCCAGGCUUGAUGGGUUCCUGGACAGAUCUAGAGGUUGGCAACCCUGCUCAAGAAAUGUGGAGCCUUCUUGUGUUAUUAUGCAGCAUACUGUAUGCACAGACCUGUCAGGGUCAGCCCAGUGGUACUCACAGCACAGAGGAGAGAGAUGCCACAGGAAAACAAAACAGCACAGGAGAAAUGGAUUAAGUAGGCAGUGCUGGAUUCACCCAGAAAGAUGGAUGUGCUUUGAACAAACAAAGGUAAAUGUUUGUCUGCAUCUUCACCCCUUUACUUUGACAUCUGGGGAGUGUUUGCUGCAGAGAUAUGUAGCAAAUGAACUGCUUCAGGAAAUAGUUAGAAAUGUCCAACACUGAGGAGAAAUUUUUCCACACAUCCUUUUGAGCUUGCUCUCAUAGGGUACCAUUGAUUGAAGGUGAGCAAUACAAAUGCCCUCUAAGCUGUUCAUGAGCUUUAAGAGGUGUGAACACAGAGACAGCAUUGAGUACGCCCAUUUCACAGGCUGCAUCUAGAAAAUCAAUAAUUCAGCUAUGCAAAAAAGAUAGAUUCCUUAAAAACUCCUUUAUCCAGCUUACUUCCUUCUAAUAAUCAUGGGAAAUUGCUCAAGAGCUCAAAAAUAGAUUUUUAUUAACCUUCAUUGGUUAAUUUUUUUCUUCAAAUAGAUUUUUCUCUGUGAAUUCUUUUGUGUUUACAGAAGACUCAGCUGCACGCGGAUUGAGUACAUGAGCUUGGCUGCUCACCUGGACUCUGCAGAGAACAGAGCAGAGCUCAAAAGAUCAGCUGGCUCAGUGGAAGCCAAGAAGAGAUAGAACAUGCUUAAGACUUGGAAAUUCUAGUAUUCGUCUAUAAUUUUGAUAUUAUCAAAGAAUACUUUAAAAAGAAGCAUCUGUGGGACCUAUGAUUUGAAAGAAACUUCAGAGAAAGAUUUUCAAAUGCCAGAGGUAACUGAACAGUCCAGAGGAAAAUAACAAAGAAAAGGUGAAGAAGAAUGGUACGUUCCUUACUGGAGACACAAAACCUCAGGUUUGAUUCUCAUUAAAGCAAAUAAAUAGAUUUGCCUAUGACCAAACUUUCCAUUUUUUUUUCAAGACUUAUUUGCUAAGAAUUUGAGAAAAUGUGAAUAAAGAAAAUGUGAGGCACCAAAAAAGAAAGAGGGAGGCCUCAUGACACAGAGCACACAAUAUAUCUAUGGAAGUCCAACUAGAUCAAAAACUUGCUUGCAGCUGCCUUAUAAGCAAGAUGCAAACCACAGAAAUGUAGGAAGACUUUUGCUUUAAAAAAAAAAAAAAAGAAAAAAGCAAGCAUUCUGAUAAGAGUGAGCAAGAGCAGGACUGAAGAGGAAGCCAUGGAAUUAAAAAAUGAUAUUGCUUUCUGUUUCAUAACAACUGGCAGACAGGGAACAGCUCCUUGGGUGUGGAAAGUAAGCACAGGAAAUUAUGUGUAAUUUCCCUAUAAUUUAGAACUUCUCUCAUUCUGUACCAUGAUGAAAACAAAUCCUCUGCACACAAAAAGGCAUAGUAACUCUUGAAUGGAUCCUCUUCAUUCAAGGCCUAAUAAAAUUUGUUCUUUCAGUUGUCUGAAAUGUUUAAGAGUGUAAGGAGCACCCUCUGCUGCCCUGAGCCACAUAAAAAUUGUGUGGAUUCUAGCGCUUUAUUAGGAUUUUAGUAUGAGCACUAAAAGUCUGGCUCUUGACAGUCUGACCUCUGGCAUACACUAAAGGGACUCUUUAUGUGGUGCCACACUGAAAUUUCCCUUUCAUAGCAGUUUCAAGGUGCUUAAAGAAAUGGGUUGCAACUGGAAGAGAGGAGUGUGUUUAUCUCUAAUGUAAAGAUCCACGUUUCACCCAAACAAAAGGGAAUGGAAGAAUGGAAUUUUGUUUGGAUUCUUAUAUUUGCACACAAACAAACAAACAAAUUCUGAUUGAAUUCCAAGUGCUAACAUUAAAGAAGUGACCAAGAAGAAAAUGAGGCUCAAGUUGUACUGUUAUACCAAAAUGAAGGACGGCUGCUGUUAAAUAAUGCAAGAAAUAUCUGGGACUUUCUGAAGUUUUAGAAGAGGCCUAUCACUGUCUUUGAAGAGUUAAGAAAAACUGUUUAUGAUCAGAAUAUUUCUUUCUUUCAGAAUAAUCCUGUUGCAGAGUUUUCUGCAUAUUUUAGGACUUGCCUGUAGGUAUAGUCAGUUUGAAGUAGUGUUGGUGUGAAUUUCAAAAGCAAAGGAUGAUUUUGAGAAAUUCUAUGCUAGGCAAGGAAUAAUCAUGUACUUACAUAGCCCCCACUACUUUAGCAUGUAAAAUAACUUUGCUAUAUGAUCAUGUUAGAUGCUGGACAAACCAAGUGUACUAAUGAUCCCUACUCAGAAUAGCACAAGACUGAGACUGUCCUGCUGAAGUUAUCCCAUUUCC
ensembl:lncRNA